GCGGGAGUAACUCAGCUGGUAGAGUUCCAGCCUUCCAAGCUGGGUGUCGCGGGUUCAAAUCCCGUCUCCCGCU
rnacentral:tRNA from 1 species